rnacentral:lncRNA from 1 species
CUGUUUCUUCCCGACCCCAAGCUUUCCUUGUAGGAAGAAGGUAAGCUGCCGACCCCUGGUCCGUCUCGUCCGACCCUUGUCCACUUCGCCCGACCCCUCUUAUCCGCCCGACCCCGGUUCCGUCUCGCCCGACCCUGUCUGUUCCGCCGACCCUUCUCCGCCUCGCCCGAGGGCUCGGCUGUAACCUUUUUCUUCAAACCAAGGGUGUAUGUGUAAAACUUGGGAACCCUUCAGUGUUGAGUCUGAGGAUCCCUAGCACACCAACCCUCUGGUUUAAGGGCCAGAUCACAAGUUCCUUUCCUCGGACCCUUACCUAUUGAUCUCCA